AAAUUGAAGAGUUUGAUCAUGGCUCAGAUUGAACGCUGGCGGCAGGCCUAACACAUGCAAGUCGAGCGGAAACGAGUUAUUAGA
rnacentral:rRNA from 1 species